AUGACAGAAAUUGAUGCUUGUCCUCUAUGCGGAGCCGAGGACUCAUGGAGACACUCACUUUUAAGCUGCACUAUGGCUAGGUGUGUAUGGGCUUUGUCAGAUGACGAUCUUGUUGAGAAAAUAUCUAAUAAUCUGGAGCCUAGCGCAAAGAACUGGGUGUUCAAUUUGCAUGAGAUUCUGAAUCAUGAGCAGUUCACGAGGCCGGUCAUCACACUAUGGGCGAUAUGGUAUGCACGAAGGAAAGCUGUACAGGCAACAGGGCACUCAACAGAUAGUACUGUACGAUGGACGGCUCCACCCGAAGGCACUUUCAAAUUCAAUGUUGAUGGAGCUGUAGCAAACAAUGGCAAGAUGGGCGCUUCGGCGGUGGUGUGCAGGAACCAGGAUGGCGUUUACAUGGGGUCCUCCACAUUAGUCUCUCGUAUGAAUGACCCAGCGACUUUGGAAGCAUAUGUGGUGAGGGAAGCUCUUGCUCUCGCUGAGGAUUUGGGCAUCUAG
rnacentral:rRNA from 1 species